rnacentral:rRNA from 5 species
ACAACUCUUGACGGGGGAUCACUCGGCUCGUGGGU